GCUUCUGCUACACAGACACAUAACAAGAAAUCGCACGAUGUUUAGUUCAUGUAGAAAAAUAGCGGCAUCUUUUACCAUAUUGGUUCUUCUGAUAAGAUUAUCUGAAGUGAACUGUAUGUGUUAUAUGCAAUAUGUAAGCGAUGAAGAACGUGCUUGCGCAGAAUCAGCGAAUUUAGGUAAAACUCCGGUUUUGGAAUACUACUAUUCAAAUUCAGAGAGUCCUAAUUUUGUCAAUUAUCUGAACUGCAUCUUUUUGAAGUGGAACUUCACAACCGCCACUGGAUCAAUCUUGUUUGACAAUAUCAUCGCUUCUGACGAUCUGGCGUGGCAAAUGUCACGUAUUUGCCAGGAUGUCGUCAGUUUAAUAGAUGAACUAACAGAAGACUUUAAAAAAUCUGCAGUUUUCUGCAAGGAAAAUCCUCCAAGCGUUCUUAGCCCUUCCACUGUAAGAAAAUGCAUUUCCCAGAAUUAUAAAGCUGCCUCCGCCCACGGUUAGAAAAUAGAACUUGACUACAUUAGUAUGAAUAAAUCUACUGUGCGUACAUUGCCAAAAAAAUUAGGAAAUCGAUUAAAUAAAGCCAAUUA